rnacentral:rRNA from 1 species
GACGAACGCUGGCGGCGUGCUUAACACAUGCAAGUCGAACGGAAAGGCCCUGCUUUUGUGGGGUGCUCGAGUGGCGAACGGGUGAGUAACACGUGAGUAACCUGCCCUUGACUUUGGGAUAACUUCAGGAAACUGGGGCUAAUACCGGAUAGGAGCUCCUGCUGCAUGGUGGGGGUUGGAAAGUUUCGGCGGUUGGGGAUGGACUCGCGGCUUAUCAGCUUGUUGGUGGGGUAGUGGCUUACCAAGGCUUUGACGGGUAGCCGGCCUGAGAGGGUGACCGGCCACAUUAGGACUGAGAUACGGCCCAGACUCCAACGGGAGGCAGCAGUGGGGAAGAUUGCACAAUGGGCGGAAGCCUGAUGCAGCAACGCCGCGUGCGGGAUGACGGCCUUCGGGUUGUAAACCACUUUCGCCUGUGACGAAGCGUGAGUGACGGUAAUGGGUAAAGAAGCACCGGCUAACUACGUG